rnacentral:rRNA from 1 species
AACGAACGCUGGCGGCAUGCCUAACACAUGCAAGUCGAACGAGACCUUCGGGUCUAGUGGCGCACGGGUGCGUAACGCGUGGGAAUCUACCCUCAGGUUCGGAAUAACUCAGAGAAAUUUGAGCUAAUACCGGAUGAUGACGUAAGUCCAAAGAUUUAUCGCCUGAGGAUGAGCCCGCGUAGGAUUAGGUAGUUGGUGAGGUAAAGGCUCACCAAGCCGACGAUCCUUAGCUGGUCUGAGAGGAUGAUCAGCCACACUGGGACUGAGACACGGCCCAGACUCCUACGGGAGGCAGCAGUGGGGAAUAUUGGACAAUGGGCGAAAGCCUGAUCCAGCAAUGCCGCGUGAGUGAUGAAGGCCUUAGGGUUGUAAAGCUCUUUUAACCGGGAUGAUAAUGACAGUACCGGGAGAAUAAGCGCCGGCUAACUCCGUG